rnacentral:tRNA from 1 species
GGCUCGGUAGCUUAGUCGUCUAGCAUACAAGAGUCCUGGGUUCAAAUCCCAGCCGAGCAC